UGGGGAAUAUUGCACAAUGGGCGCAAGCCUGAUGCAGCCAUGCCGCGUGUGUGAAGAAGGCCUUCGGGUUGUAAAGUACUUUCAGCGGGGAGGAAGGGAGUAAAGUUAAUACCUUUGCUCAUUGACGUUACCCGCAGAAGAAGCACCGGCUAACUCCGUGCCAGCAGCCGCGGUAAUACGGAGGGUGCAAGCGUUAAUCGGAAUUACUGGGCGUAAAGCGCACGCAGGCGGUUGAUUGAGUCAGAUGUGAAAUCCCCGGGCUUAACCCGGGAAUUGCAUCUGCUACUGGUCAGCGAGAGUCUUGUAGAGGGGGGUAGAAUUCCAUGUGUAGCGGUGAAAUGCGUAGAGAUGUGGAGGAAUACCGGUGGCGAAGGCGGCCCCCUGGACAAAGACUGACGCUCAGGUGCGAAAGCGUGGGGAGCAAACAGG
rnacentral:rRNA from 1 species